UCGGUUGAUCCUGCCGGAGGUUACUGCUAUCGGAGUUCGAUUAAGCCAUGCGAGUCUAAAGGUUUCUUCGGAAACCUUGGCGGACUGCUCAGUAACACGUGGAUAACCUACCCUUGGGACUGGAAUAACCCCGGGAAACUGGGGAUAAUACCGGAUAGAUCAGGGAUGCUGGAAUGCACCUUGAUCCAAAGCUCCGGCGCCCAAGGAUGGGUCUGCGGCCUAUCAGGUAGUAGUGGGUGUAACGUACCUACUAGCCAACGACGGGUACGGGUUGUGAGAGCAAGAGCCCGGAGAUGGAUUCUGAGACACGAAUCCAGGCCCUACGGGGUGCAGCAGGCGCGAAACCUUUACAAUGUGCGAAAGCAUGAUAAGGGAACUCCGAGUGCCAGCAUCUAAUGUUGGCUGUCCUUGUGCCUAAAACGCACAAGAUAGCAAGGGCCGGGUAAGACCGGUGCCAGCCGCCGCGGUAACACCGGCGGCCCGAGUGGUAGCCGCUAUUAUUGGGUCUAAAGGGUCCGUAGCCGGUUCGAUAAGUCCUCUGGGAAAUCUGGUUGCUUAACAAUCAGACUGCCAAGGGAUACUGUCGAACUUGAGACCGGGAGAGGUAAGAGGUACUUCAGGGGUAGGAGUGAAAUCUUGUAAUCCCUGGGGGANCAUCUGUGGCGAANGCGUCUUACCAGAACGGGUCUGACGGUGAGGGACGAAAGCUGGGGGCGCAAACCGGAUUAGAUACCCGGGUAGUCCCAGCCGUAAACGAUGCUCGCUAUGUGUCNGGNACGGUGUGACCGUAUCUGGUGCCGUANGGAANCCGUGA
rnacentral:rRNA from 1 species